GCCCAAGAGACUGGGAUAACACCUGGAAACAGAUGCUAAUACCGGAUAACAACACUAGACGCAUGUCUAGAGUUUAAAAGAUGGUUCUGCUAUCACUCUUGGAUGGACCUGCGGUGCAUUAGCUAGUUGGUAAGGCAACGGCUUACCAAGGCAAUGAUGCAUAGCCGAGUUGAGAGACUGAUCGGCCACAUUGGGACUGAGACACGGCCCAAACUCCUACGGGAGGCAGCAGCG
rnacentral:rRNA from 1 species